CUUCACCGAACCCAGCAACAACGGACGCUCCGGAUCACGGUCCCGCCCAUACGUGGCCAGCAAUGCCUGCGCCUC
rnacentral:antisense_RNA from 1 species